rnacentral:rRNA from 1 species
AUACGUAGGGGACAAGCGUUAUCCGGAUUUACUGGGCGUAAAGGGCGUGUAGGCGGUUUUGCAAGUCAGAAGUGAAAUUCCAGGGCUUAACUUGGGCGCUGCUUUUGAAACUGAUUUACUUGAGGGCUGGAGAGGCUAGUGGAAUUCCUAGGUAAGGGGUAAAAUGCGCAGAUAUUAGGAGGAAAACCGGUGGCGAAGGCGGCUAUCUGGACAGUAACUGACGCUGAGGCGCGAAAGCACGGGGAGCAAACAGGAUUAGAUACCCUGGUAGUCCGUGCCGUAAACGAUGAAUACUAGGUGUAGGGGGUAUCGACUCCCUCUGUGCCGCAGUUAACACAUUAAGUAUUCCACCUGGGGAGUACGGCCGCAAGGUUGAAACUCAAAGGAAUUGACGGGG